GCCGGAGUGGCGGAAUGGCAGACGCACUUGACUCAAAAUCAAGCGGGUAACACCGUGUGGGUUCAAGUCCCACCUCCGGCACCA
rnacentral:tRNA from 48 species